GUCACAGUCGCCUAAAGGAAAGGCAACAGUUUUCUAAGCUGUCAACUAUGGGUUCGAUUCCCAUCUGUGAUG
rnacentral:tRNA from 1 species